UACGUAGGUGGCAAGCGUUGUCCGGAUUUACUGGGCGUAAAGAGCGCGCAGGCGGCUGGGUCAGUCCGAUGUGAAAGCUUCCGGCUUAACUGGGAAAUAGCAUCGGAAACUGCUCGGCUUGAAGGUGGGAGAGGGUAGCGGAAUUCCCGGUGUAGUGGUGAAAUGCGUAGAUAUCGGGAGGAACACCAGUGGCGAAGGCGGCUACCUGGCCCAUUCUUGACGCUGAGGCGCGAAAGCUAGGGGAGCAAACGGG
rnacentral:rRNA from 1 species